AUUGAACGCUGGCGGCAGGCUUAACACAUGCAAGUCGAGCGGGGAAGAGUAGCUUGCUACUUGACCUAGCGACGGACGGGUGAGUAAUGCUUAGGAAUCUGCCUAUUAGUGGGGGACAACAUCUCGAAAGGGAUGCUAAUACCGCAUACGUCCUACGGGAGAAAGCAGGGGACCUUCGGGCCUUGCGCUAAUAGAUGAGCCUAAGUCGGAUUAGCUAGUUGGUGGGGUAAAGGCCUACCAAGGCGACGAUCUGUAGCGGGUCUGAGAGGAUGAUCCGCCACACUGGGACUGAGACACGGCCCAGACUCCUACGGGAGGCAGCAGUGGGGAAUAUUGGACAAUGGGGGGAACCCUGAUCCAGCCAUGCCGCGUGUGUGAAGAAGGCCUUUUGGUUGUAAAGCACUUUAAGCGAGGAGGAGGCUACCGAGAUUAAUACUCUUGGAUAGUGGACGUUACUCGCAGAAUAAGCACCGGCUAACUCUGUGCCAGCCGCCGCGGUAAGAC
rnacentral:rRNA from 1 species